AAAAUGUCUUCCAGUCGACAGGACUCUAUAGGGUAAGUGCUUUUAUUUGUGCUAAACAGUAUAGACUAAAAUGGUCUUAUUCUGUGAGAGUUGAAGGAAUCAGUAUAUUUUCAAAUCAAGAGUUAGGUUCAGCCAGGAACCGGUGGCUCCUGACUAAUUCUAUCUACUCAGAAGUCUGAUCUGAGGAUCACAGUUCAUAGCCAGCCUGAGCAGAUAAGUCUGUGAGACUCUUAUCUCCAAUUAGCCAC